GACGAACCGUGCGAACGUUAUUCGGAAUCACUGGGCUUAAAGGGCGCGUAGGCGGCUAGUCAAGUCAGGGGUGAAAUCGUUCGGCUUAACCGGACAAGUGCCUUUGAUACUGGCUGGCUUGAGGGAGGUAGGGGCAUGUGGAACUUCCGGUGGAGCGGUGAAAUGCGUAGAUAUCGGAAGGAACGCCGGUGGCGAAAGCGACGUGCUGGACCUCUUCUGACGCUGAGGCGCGAAAGCCAGGGGAGCGAACGGG
rnacentral:rRNA from 1 species